rnacentral:rRNA from 1 species
ACCUAGUAGUACGGAAUAGCCAUUAGAAAUGGUGGGUAAUACUGUAUAAUCCCCGAGGGGGAAAGAUUUAUCGCUAUUAGAUGAGCCUACGUUAGAUUAGCUAGUUGGUGAGGUAAUGGCUUACCAAGGCUAUGAUCUAUAGCUGGUCUGAGAGGACGAUCAGCCACACUGGAACUGAGAUACGGUCCAGACUCCUACGGGAGGCAGCAGUGGGGAAUAUUGGACAAUGGGCGAAAGCCUGAUCCAGCUAUGCCGCGUGAGUGAAGAAGGCCUUCGGGUUGUAAAACUCUUUCAAUAGGGAAGAUAAUGACG